CGCUCCUGCAGCGGAACUCGUUGUCUGUGCACUGCUUUGGCGCUACGAGAGCAGAGGGACGGAUGACCGGGGAAACAUUAGAGCAGGAGGUUAAGGGGGUGAAAGGAUGCUGGAGGAGAUGGUACCAGGAAGUUCAUCAGUGCCAUCUCCACAGUCAUCUGAGCCAUCGCACACCCAUCUGAAGGACAUGCAUCUCCCGUUCCCGCACUCGAAUUGCUUUGUUCCGCAUGUGGCAGAGAUGGUGAUAAAUUUGCUGCCAGAGGAGCGAGGGGCCGAGAGUUAUGGUCGCUGCCAGCAAAACCAGUGACGACACUGAGUCGCCCUCCCAACCCCCUUCUUUUAAUGGACCCGAUGAAGCCACUGAACUGGAAGAACCAAUUAGACUGUACAUCAGACAGACAGCACUUGAUGAGAAGGUACUCAAGGCCAUUCUUCCCUGUGGCCCCGGGGCCUCAAAACCUCGCAUGGCCACCUGUUUCUGACAGGGGCCCGGAGGGAGGCGUAACAGCACCAGAAGCUUAGGCGCAUUUAGCAUCUUCACAGCAACUUUAUGUUUGAAAUUAAAUAUUUACGUUUGACUAUUAAAAUUUUCCUGAGUUUGUGAGCUACAAGCUUGGAAAAAAAAAAGAUAAAUCAUACAUGAUGUGUCCGUGCACGUGCUCCAGCACAGUAAAUAAUACUUCAGCUUGUGGGUGAAGUCAAACAUCUGGUGUCUCAGUCUUGCUGCUUUUUGCUUUAGAUGCAGUCAAACAAGGAGACGCUGUAUUCCUCUGAGCUUCUGCAGAUUGAGGGAAUUGUCUCUUGUAGUAUUUUAUAUGACUCCAUAAUUACAGUGGGUCAACAUUAAGCCUGUCGCUUCCUUAUGACUUCCAGUGAAAAGGCUGUGCAUUGUCGCCCCGGCCAUAAAGAUGACGAAGAGUUUCAUGUUUACAAACGUGUUUUUAUCAAAGAGGAUAUCCUGGUGCUUAAUACAGAAGAAAAACACACGGUGGAGUUUCUCGCUUUAUAGAUCAGCUCUCAUUCCCUGAAACUGAGGACACGUUACACAAAUCCCAAGUUCACGCAGCUAUUUACUCAACGGGCUUAAAGUCCAGACUCUGAAUGACAAACUGGGCUGAAUGGCAGCGUUAUUGAUCACAGUAAAAAUCAGUGCUGG